AGUGAACGCUGGCGGUAGGCCUAACACAUGCCAGUCGAACGGCAGCACAGUAAUAGCUUACGCUUACGGGUGGCGGGUGGCGUACGUGUGAGGAGUGUAACCGGCUCUACUCUUUGGUGGGGGAUCACGUAGGGAAACCUACUCUAAUACAGCAGACCACCUACGGGGGAAAGCAUGGGAUCGUCGCGCCUUGCGCGGAUGGAUGCGCCGCUUUCGGAUUGGCUGGUGGGGGGGGUAAAUACCCACCAAGGCGACGAUCCGUAGCUGGUCUGAGAGGAGGGUCGGCCACACUGGAACGGAGCCACGGUCCAUACUCCUACGGGAGGCAGCAGUGGGGAAUGUUGGACAAUGGGCGCAAGCCUGAUCCAGUCAUACCGCGUGGGUGAAGGAGGCCUUGGGGUUGUAAAGCCCUUUUGUUGGGAAAGAACAGCAGCCGGUUGAUACGCAGCUGUUGUGACGGUAACGAAAGAAUAAGCACCGGCUAACUUCGUG
rnacentral:rRNA from 1 species